rnacentral:rRNA from 1 species
GGGCCCGCACAAGCGGUGGAGUAUGUGGUUUAAUUCGAUGCAACGCGAAGAACCUUACCAGGGUUUGACAUCCUGCGAAUCUCUUGGAAACGAGAGAGUGCCUUCGGGAACGCAGUGACAGGUGGUGCAUGGCUGUCGUCAGCUCGUGUCGUGAGAUGUUGGGUUAAGUCCCGCAACGAGCGCAACCCUUGUCAUUAGUUGCUACAUUUAGUUGGGCACUCUAAUGAGACUGCCGGUGACAAACCGGAGGAAGGUGGGGAUGACGUCAAGUCCUCAUGGCCCUUAUGGGUAGGGCUACACACGUGCUACAAUGGCUAGGACAGACGGCCGCAAACCCGCGAGGGGAGCCAA